CAACAGAAGUGGUGUGUGUGCAUUUGUGAUGAAAGGUGGAAGAGAAGAUGUGGAUUUCAGACAAAGAAGAUAACAAGUGAUCUAUAUGUCAGGAUACUGAAACUCAAGACAAAUUACACGGCUCAGAAAUGGCAGCAACAAGAUUCAGUUCAGGUUUGUCUGAUUUUUAAAUCUGGUGGCUUUACCCCACUACAAAAGUUAAUUUCCCACCAUAUCAUAUACUACUAUCCAACAUUAAGCAUCUAUAUAGAUACCCUGAUAAGCAUUUUUUGUUUUUAAUCUAUUUCUGGUUUUAUUAUUCUUCCCCAUUUUUAUUAUCACUUCAUAGAUU